rnacentral:rRNA from 1 species
AACGAACGCUGGCGGCGUGGCUAAGGCAUGCAAGUCGAACGGACGUAUGGAAUGGGCAACCAGACCAUACGUCAGUGGCGAACGGGUGAGGAAUACAUGGAUGACGUACCCUGGACAUGGGGAUAGCGGCGGGACGCAAGUCCCUUUAGCGAAAGUGCCGGUAAUACCCGAUGAUCCCGCGAGAUCGCAUGGUCUUGCGGGCAAAGCUCCGACGGUCUGGGAUCGGUUCAUGCCCUAUCAGCUAGUUGGUGAGGUAACGGCCCACCAAGGCAAUGACGGGUAUCGGGCGUUAGAGCGUGGCCCGACACAUCGGGACUGAGACACGGCCCGGACACCUACGGGAGGCAG